rnacentral:rRNA from 1 species
UACGAAGGGGGCUAGCGUUGUUCGGAAUUACUGGGCGUAAAGGGCGCGUAGGCGGCCUGUUAAGUCGAACGUGAAAUCCCCGGGCUCAACCCGGGAACUGCGUCCGAUACUGGCAGGCUUGAAUUCGGGAGAGGGAUGUGGAAUUCCAGGUGUAGCGGUGAAAUGCGUAGAUAUCUGGAGGAACACCGGUGGCGAAGGCGGCAUCCUGGACCGAUAUUGACGCUGAUGCGCGAAAGCCAGGGGAGCAAACGGG